GAUGAACGCUGGCGGUAUGCCUAACACAUGCAAGUCGUACGAGAGUUUUUAACUCUAGUGGCGGACGGGUGAGUAACACGUGAGAAUUUGCCUUUAGGAGGGGGACAACAAUUGGAAACGAAUGCUAAUACCCCAUAUGCUUUCGAGUGAAAUGGAUUUUAUCCGCCUAGAGAGAAGCUCGCGGCUGAUUAGCUUGUUGGUAAGGUAAGAGCUUACCAAGGCGACGAUCAGUAUCUGGUUUGAGAGGACGAUCAGACACACUGGAACUGAGACACGGUCCAGACUCCUACGGGAGGCAGCAGUGGGGAAUUUUCCGCAAUGGGCGAAAGCCUGACGGAGCAAUACCGCGUGAGGGAAGAAUGCCUAUGGGUUGUAAACCUCUUUUUUCUAGGGAGGAAUAAAAUAGACGUGUACCUGAAGAAUAAGACAUACGGCUAAACUCCGUG
rnacentral:rRNA from 1 species